CUCUCAGUAAAUGAAUAAUCUCACUUCUUUCUAUCAUAAAGAGGAGUAUAAGGUUCAAAUCUAGGAGAAAUGAAAUUUGCCUAUAGAUAUUCUAACUCCAAGAUCACAAAUUGAUGGUCCACUAACCCAAGAUUUAGAAUACUACAAAAAAAGUUUUAACACAAUGGAUAGGAGACCUACUAGUGAAAAUCAUAUAGCGACACCUAAAAUCAAAAUAUUGUCCUUCCCAUUAUCAAU
rnacentral:lncRNA from 1 species